AAUCCAUUCUGUGUCCUUCAAUUUGUUGCAACCAACCACUGUAAUCCAAUUAAUACGAAUAACUGGUUAAAAAUUGUUGAUUGAGAUGCGAUUAAAAGAAUAUAUAGAUACAUAUAUAGAGAGAGAGAGAGAGAGAGAGAGAGGAAUACCGGUGACUUCGAGGAGUUGGCCCUGAAUACCGGAGAUCGACAUGGAAGGAUAGGCAGAACAAUGGGAUUGAGUUGGCAAUUGGUGCAUAAUUUGAACUCUACCCCUACAAGAACCCCUUUGAUGAUAACAAGAGAAGAAGCUUCACGAAGAUUCUCUCUCCAUUUGGGUUUGUCUCCAAAGAAUUCUCUGGUUUCUCCAAUGGAAUUUCAGAUAUUCGCCCGGUCGUUGACGUUGACGACCAAUUUGCUAGUCCUGAUUCACACAAAAAGGAUUCUUUUGCCGAUAAAAA